AGACCGAUAGCGAACAAGUAGAGUGAUCGAAAGAUGAAAAGCACUUUGGAAAGAGAGUCAAAAAGCACGUGAAAUUGUUGAAAGGGAAGCGCUUGCAGCCAGACUUGCCUGCGGUUGCUCAUCCGGGCUCUCGCCCGGUGCACUCUUCCGUAGGCAGGCCAGCAUCAGUUUGGGCGGCUGGAUAAAGGCCUCUGUCAUGUACCUUCCCUCGGGAAGGCCUUAUAGGGGAGGCGUAAUGCAGCCAGCCUGGACUGAGGUCCGCGCAUUUGCUAGGAUGCUGGCGUAAUGGCUGUAAGCGGCCCGUCUUGAAACACGGACCAAG
rnacentral:rRNA from 1 species